CUACGGGAGGCAGCAGGAGGGAAUUUUCUCGCAAUGGGCGAAAGCCUGACGGAGCAAUACCGCGUGAGGGAUGACGGCCUGUGGGUUGUAAACCUCUUUUCUCAAGGAAGAACUUCUGACGGUACUUGAGGAAUAAGCAUCGGCUAACUCUGUGCCAGCAGCCGCGAUAAU
rnacentral:rRNA from 1 species